ensembl:misc_RNA Metazoa_SRP Metazoan signal recognition particle RNA
GCCGGGCAUGGUGGCGCAUGCCUGUAAUCCCAGCUACUCAGGAGGCUGAGGCAGGAGAAUUGCUUGAACCCUGGAAGCGGAGGUUGCAGUGAGCCGAGAUUGCACCCUUGCAAUUCAGCCUGGGUGACAGAGUGAGACUCUGUCUCAA